AAAGAUCGCAGCCUGCGGCAGCUCCUACAGGGGAUCACAUUCAAAUGUAGGAGCUGCCGCAGGCUGCGAUCUUU
rnacentral:misc_RNA from 1 species